rnacentral:sRNA from 2 species
ACAAGGGUGAGGGAGGAUUUCUUCCCCCUCUGAUUGGCUGUUAAUAAGCUGCGAAACUUACGAGUAACAACACAAUCAGUAUGAUGACGAGCUUCAUCAUAACCCUUUCCUUAUACAAGGCCCCUUCCUCGGGAGGGGCUUU